UUACAUAUUAGGCAAUAGUUCUAGUUACACAUUUGGCAUAUUGACAAAAAUGUCAUCCUCACCCCAUUGACAUUAGAAUUGAAAGCAUAGGAGGGUUUCACCCCUUGCAAUGUUUAAUUCAAUAUAAUUGUUUUCUUGUUUACAUUAGUGACCAUAUCAGAGCACGGUGUACAUCUCUUGCAGUAUUCAGAAUAUUUCUCUACGGGCAGCAACAUUUUUCUCUCCUUAUCUGGAUAUUAGGAAGAAUAUCACAGGACCGGCUUACAGCGCCAGUCACAUCUGACCAUAUCAGAGCACAGUGUACUCCUCUUGCCGUAUUCAGAGGAUUUGCCUAUGGGCAGCAACAUUAUUCUCUCGUUCUCUGGAUAUUAGGAACAAUAUCACAGGACCGGCGGACAGCCCCAGUCAUAUCUGACCAUAUCAAAGCAUGGUGUACACCUCUUGCCGUAUUAAGAGUAUUUCCCUAUGGGCAGCAACAUUUUCCUCUCCUUCUCUGGAUAUUAGGAACAAUAUUCCAGGACCAGGGUACAGCCCCAGUCACGUCGUGG